CUAACAUGUGUGGUUAGUUAACAUCAAUUUUGGUUAUCAUAAAAUGGUUGGAGGAAUGUAGCUUCGAUCUCGUAUCGAAGUGUUAUAGCCUUCGGCAGAUGUGAUGAUCGAGAUUGAGGGAUUGCAACGGAUACCCUUCGGGGCUACCUGUCUGAUCUCUGAUCGUUGCUCGUGGUACCGAAAGC
rnacentral:rRNA from 1 species